AGGGAAACCGAGUCUUAACCGGGCGUUAAGUUGCAGGGUAUAGACCCGAAACCCGGUGAUCUAGCCAUGGGCAGGUUGAAGGUUGGGUAACACUAACUGGAGGACCGAACCGACUAAUGUUGAAAAAUUAGCGGAUGACCUGUGGCUGGGGGUGAAAGGCCAAUCAAACCGGGAGAUAGCUGGUUCUCCCCGAAAGCUAUUUAGGUAGCGCCUCGUGAAUUCAUCUCCGGGGGUAGAGCACUGUUUCGGCUAGGGGGCCAUCCCGGCUUACCAACCCGAUGCAAACUGCGAAUACCGGAGAAUGUUAUCACGGGAGACACACGGCGGGUGCUAACGUCCGUCGUGAAGAGGGAAACAACCCAGACCGCCAGCUAAGGUCCCAAAGUCAUGGUUAAGUGGGAAACGAUGUGGGAAGGCCCAGACAGCCAGGAUGUUGGCUUAGAAGCAGCCAUCAUUUAAAGAAAGCGUAAUAGCUCACUGGUCGAGUCGGCCUGCGCGGAAGAUGUAACGGGGCUAAACCAUGCACCGAAGCUGCGGCAGCGAACGUAUCACCCAAGACAACUUUACGGAGUUGACGAUUGACGGAGCGAAGCGACGUCAAAGCGUUCAUUAAAGUCGAGUUGGCUUAGGGAUACGUUCGUUGGGUAGGGGAGCGUUCUGUAAGCCUGUGAAGGUGUGUCGUGAGGCAUGCUGGAGGUAUCAGAAGUGCGAAUGCUGACAUAAGUAACGAUAAAGCGGGUGAAAAGCCCGCUCGCCGGAAGACCAAGGGUUCCUGUCCAACGUUAAUCGGGGCAGGGUGAGUCGACCCCUAAGGCGAGGCCGAAAGGCGUAGUCGAUGGGAAACGGGUUAAUAUUCCCGUACUUGGUGUUACUGCGAAGGGGGGACGGAGAAGGCUAUGUUGGCCGGGCGACGGUUGUCCCGGUUUAAGCGUGUAGGUGUGUGUUCCAGGUAAAUCCGGUUCACUUUAACACUGAGGCGUGACGACGAGGCACUACGGUGCU
rnacentral:rRNA from 1 species